GAUGAACGCUAGCGGCAGGCCUAAUACAUGCAAGUCGAACGGGAUCCAGAUCAAAGCUUGCUUUGGUCUGGUGAGAGUGGCGCACGGGUGCGUAACGCGUGAGCAACCUACCCUUAUCAGGGGGAUAGCCCGGCGAAAGUCGGAUUAAUACCGCAUGACAUCAUUGAGAGGCAUCUUUCGAUGAUCAAAGAUUUAUCGGACAAGGAUGGGCUCGCGUGACAUUAGCUAGUUGGUAAGGUAACGGCUUACCAAGGCUGCGAUGUCUAGGGGCUCUGAGAGGAGAAUCCCCCACACUGGUACUGAGACACGGACCAGACUCCUACGGGAGGCAGCAGUAAGGAAUAUUGGUCAAUGGACGGAAGUCUGAACCAGCCAUGCCGCGUGCAGGAAGACGGCCCUAUGGGUUGUAAACUGCUUUUAUACGGGAACAAACGUCGGUACGUGUACCGGUCUGAGUGUACCGUAAGAAUAAGGAUCGGCUAACUCCGUG
rnacentral:rRNA from 1 species